UUUUGAUUAAUUCAGCAGUCUUAUGGCUUGGGGGUAGAAGCUGUUAACUACGGGAUCGGUGUCGCUAAACCGGGGCGUUGUUGCUAACGUGCACUAAUGUGACUAGAAUGACGAUGCGAAGUAUUGUGAAGGCACCACUGAUCUCGACAAGAGGCCCAACAUUCAUAGGGGGCAGAGAAAUUCACAAUUCAAGCCAACCAUCUUCACCAGUUGGAGCAGUUGGACGGUCGACCACAGAGAGCCCUGACGCCCUACACUUACUUCAGUGAAGCCCGUGAGUCAAAGACAUUCAACUAUCUGAGCCACCCAGGAGGUAUUUCAUCCACCAGAGCCAGUUUGGAUCAGUCUGAUUCUCUGUGCGCUGAGUCGAAAGGGGAGCAGGUUGAGACGAAAUUCUGCAUCUAGUGACGUCUGAUUGCCCAACAAUCUGCCCACUCAUUCCAUCCCCUCCUCCAUCUCAUUGCAUCAUUUAAAGCUACUGCUAUUGUCAUGUUGUCAUUAUUUGCUAAUUAAGUUUGCUAGCCGUAUCAUACUGGACACAUAAUAUUUGAGAUACACAGAUGAACUAAAAACACUAGCCCUGCAAACACUCGGGAACAAAGAGAGCAGCAGUGCCUGGACUUCGCAGUCCCCCUCUUCAAGUCCCCCUUCCGAGACUGUUGUUGAGAACAAGUGACAGGCAGAACCUCACAACCACACAUCACCCACCUCUCUAUCACACACACCAGAAUUAAGUAUUUCAGUCUGAAUGCCAUGUGAGUGGACAAAAAAUAAUCUGUGAAAAUAAAUGAAUGACAAAAACUUAAACGUUGCUGUAUUAAAAUCUGAAAUAUUGUUGGUUUUCACAGCUGUUU